GUGUCAGCCGCCGCGGUAAUACGUAGGGUGCGAGCGUUAAUCGGAAUUACUGGGCGUAAAGGGUGCGCAGGCGGCCUCGCAAGUCGAGUGUGAAAUCCCCGGGCUUAACCUGGGAAUUGCGCUCGAAACUACGGGGCUUGAGUGUGGCAGAGGGAGGUGGAAUUCCACGUGUAGCGGUGAAAUGCGUAGAGAUGUGGAGGAACACCGAUGGCGAAGGCAGCCUCCUGGGUCAACACUGACGCUCAUGCACGAAAGCGUGGGGAGCAAACAGGAUUAGAAACCCCCGUAGUCC
rnacentral:rRNA from 1 species